rnacentral:rRNA from 1 species
UACGAAGGGGGCUAGCGUUGCUCGGAAUCACUGGGCGUAAAGCGCACGUAGGCGGAUCUUUAAGUCAGGGGUGAAAUCCCAAGGCUCAACCUUGGAACUGCCUUUGAUACUGUGGAUCUCGAGUCCGGAAGAGGUUGGUGGAACUGCGAGUGUAGAGGUGAAAUUCGUAGAUAUUCGCAAGAACACCAGUGGCGAAGGCGGCCAACUGGUCCGGUACUGACGCUGAGGUGCGAAAGCGUGGGGAGCAAACAGG